rfam:Drosophila melanogaster ultrabithorax domain bithoraxoid (bxd) gene, exons 5 and 6.
GAGCGGCGAUGUGAGAAAUUUCCAGCACAAGCCCAAAUAAGCAAAGGUAAAUGGCAAAUGGGUGAAAUGCUCAAGAAAAUGAAGCCAACAAGGAGCAGCGCCAAAA